UCAAUAAGAAUGAAAAAAAGAUCGGCACUCAACACGGUGAAAGGCAACCUCAACAUACAUCAGCAGAUAGCCCUUACUCUUCAGAUUAUUUUACAAAUAUGAGGUUAUAAAUGGUAGUAAAGUGUAUGGCGACACAUUCUGGCGGUAUUGGAAUACUCCAACAGUUCUGAUUGCUAUAUCCCUCUUGGGUUUAUACAACCCCCGGAAGUACAGACAACAAAGCAGACAUAAUCUGGAAUAUCGAUAACCUCUAAAGCUCUGAGAGGACCCUAAAAUAAAAGCAACUCCUGGAGGCUGGCAUUAUCGAAGAUUUUCACGAAUUCCACGAAACUCACGCCAGCUGCUUCACACAUUGAAAAUGAUGAGAGGCUGGUGGAUUGAAGUGUAGUCAAACAGUAUUUUUCAACAAUGUGGACAACUAAGAAGUGCUCCUUCGUUACCCUCCUUCUCCAAACACUACAUGUCAAUAGUCCCAACAAAAAGUUAUAAAACAAGCAGUCUUGACCUUCCUUUCCCACCGUGACAGGCAGAAUUAAUAGAGCUAUCAAGUAUUAGUAACUGCUAAAGAGGGAUUGUCGUUGAGAGAGGCACUUAAAGACCAAUCCAGAGCUUUCUGCCUUCAGAAUGUUCUUUUCGCAGCAUACCAAGUUUUACACCAGAUAGAAACAGAAUCCUUAGCAAACUGGGCCCAGCCCAAAACGGACCAAAUCAGACUGAUAAAAACUGCUCAUAAUCAUAUCUGCAGCUAUAGCAGCAAUUUAAAAUCUAUGUAAUAGCUGAUAUCGACGACUCCGAACUGAAUACUAAUCGAUGCAGAUGCAAUACUGGUCACGUCUGUUACUUGUAUUUAAAAAUAA